GACGGCUAAUAUAAUACUCUAUCCAAACUCUCUGCCGAUUUUCUAUAUUUAAUAAUUUAUUUUGUUAAAGGGGGUUUUCUUUUCGUUAUAUAUAUAAUCGAGUAGUAGUUUGGAGUGGUGUAAUUUGUCCAUCUACCAUAAGAACAUGGCUACACAUAUCUACAACUUGUUUUUCUUUAUUGCAAUUCUUUUCAUGGCUUCCAUUUUAAUUCAAGGUGAAGCCCAACCGAUGAUGCAUUGCAAGGGCAAAGAGCCAUGUCCAGAUCUUCUUGCCUGCGCGAAGCGUUGUUAUGCAUUAACAUUCGCUCAUGGUGGAAGUUGUGUUCAAGACCAAUGUUGUUGCAUACCUUAGAAUUACAAUUAUACUCUCUCAAGUGUUAACAUCCAAAUUAGUGGAAUAUGUAUUGAUUUCACUUUUAAAUAAAAUUGUUAUAGUUUUUUUA